rnacentral:rRNA from 1 species
AAAACCUUACCUACCCUUGACAUGUACGGAACUUGCCAGAGAUGGCUUGGUGCUNGAAAGAGAGCCGUAACACAGGUGCUGCAUGGCUGUCGUCAGCUCGUGUCGUGAGAUGUUGGGUUAAGUCCCGCAACGAGCGCAACCCUUGUCAUUAGUUGCUACAUUUAGUUGGGCACUCUAAUGAGACUGCCGGUGACAAACCGGAGGAAGGUGGGGAUGACGUCAAGUCCUCAUGGCCCUUAUGGGUAGGGCUACACACGUCAUACAAUGGCUGGUACAAAGGGUUGCCAACCCGCGAGGGGGAGCUAAUCCCAUAAAGCCAGUCGUAGUCCGGAUCGUAGUCUGCAACUCGACUGCGUGAAGUCGGAAUCGCUAGUAAUCNUGGAUCAGAAUGUCACGGUGAAUACGUUCCCGGGUCUUGUACACACCGCCCGUCACACCAUGGGAGCGGGUCUCGCCAGANGUAGUUAGCCUAACCGCAAGGGGG